UGUCACCGGAGUCGAGCAAGUAUCAGUUGGAGGCAUACAAAACUGAGGAUCUAGAGUCAAAGAACCCAGAUCCUUGAAGAUCUCUAGUAACUUCUAGCGAAUGGGAAAAUCUACAAAGCUGAUUCUUUAGCUUUGAAUGUAAACAAACAUCUGAGCUCGAGUUUCUCAGUGUUGUCUUUCCUAGGGUCAUCUGCCAUGUGUCCUGCACUCCCAGAAUCCUGUUCUCAGUCAGUGGUCUCCUUCAGCUGUUAUGGUGACCAUAACUGAUGCUCUCAGGUACUCAUGCGCUAGCUCAAGUGAAGAAUUCCCACUUGACCAUGUCCUUGAAGUCCUCAUUAGUGAUGGAACUUAUAGGCCCUGGGAUAAAGUUUAAUAACUGACAAAACAUUUCCUUACUCUUCAUCUCAUUUGACUGUCAUGUGGAUAUGACCUGUCACCUGCGAGGAAUCGCUGUGUCAGUGUGAGGGUGAAGAAAAGAGACCAGUGUGACCUGUGUGGUCCUGCCUUUGCCUGCCAGUGGGCUUUUCUUUUUCCUACUGAAGAAUGGAAUCUUUAAAAACUUGAAUUUGUACUCCAGCAGCUGAUUAAUCAUUUGUAGGAAUUUUGUUUACAGGGACCACAUUGGCUGGAGCCUUUCAGACUUUCCCCCUAAGAUCCAGGUGUGGAAAGUGAUACGUUCGCAGAGAACCGGUGAAAUUCAGCUGGCCCAGGCCAUUCAGUGUGAAUGGCAUUUGUUUGCAACUCCCCAUGCAGUAUCCACAGUGUGCCACAUGCCACCCUAUCCUGAGAGCUUCUCCAGGACACUGGAUUUUGUGGGUAUCGGAAGGGUCCUUUGGCUCUGGGCUGGAGUCAGAUGAGCUAUGAAGAAAGGUGAGGUGGGAGAAAAGAGCAGGCUGCUGUUUCC
rnacentral:lncRNA from 1 species